UAUUCUCUUUGGUUUCUUGGAUUGGUUUAAAUAUUCUUCUAUUUGCAAUUUUCAAUAUUUUGGUUGCUACAUUUUUGAAUUUAGAUAUUAGCGGAUUGAUGCAUUAUGGAUUUUCUUGUCACAUAUACCUAUCAAAAUCAAAGAGGGAAUUGAUAUGAAAGAUUCUCACAUCCCUAAAAUUUGAAAUCCAAUAAUAUGAUAAAAUUUAAGUGUAAUAUUUUUGUAACAAAAUGUUUAAAUUUUUGAUUUUAUCAAGCAUUAACUCAACAUGGUUGUUUUUUCAGAGUCCAUAGAUUUUGUCUGAUAGUAUGGCUAUUUUUCUAAAGCUUUAAUACAUGUUUUGUUUCCCUAUCUAGCUACUUUAUCCUUCUGUUACUGGCCUUCUGUAAAGGAAUUUUUUUGCGAUAACUACUAGUAUAAAAAGGUCACGUUUGUUCUUUUCAAGUCAAACAACCAAAUAUUUUAUGAUUCCUUUAUAGUAUGGAGACUAAAACUUUUUGUGGUAAUACGACAAAGGUUGCUAUCUAUAUUGUCAUGGAGCCUGUUGUUCCACUAUUAGAAAAGAUCAAGGAACUAAAUUUGGAAGGUACAUAAAGUGGUUUGGCUAGGAAUAUAGAUUGAAGAAAAUGGAGAGGAAAGUGAAGAAAAUGAAAAGAUUUGUCGCUGCUACAACACAACUAUUACAAGAGCAAGAAGUGCUGAUGAAGCUUGAGCAAACUUUGAGGAGAAUGCACGUCAAUGCUCAGUUAGAUCGUCUGAACUUGCUUGAGUUCCAGCAGAUGGUGAUGUGCCAACAUCAAGAAAUGAGAAAUUUAAAAGAUUUGUGUCCAUGGAAUAGAACUUUCAUGCGGAUGAGUUAUGUUGAAUCUUUUAAAGGAUGCAUGGUGGGUGGAAUUGAUUCUUCCGUUGAAGAGAUAUGCAAGCCAACCAUUGGUCGUUCAAUGCAGUUGAGAAAUGUUAGUAUUGAAUUGGUUGUGAGUCAAGUCUUCCACAAGGCUAUUUAUUGUUCACAAAAGAGAAUUAAAGCCAUAAAUUUUCACUUCAUUCCAUGAAAGCUGUUUUGAGCA